GUGAACGCUGGCGGCGUGCUUAACACAUUGCAAGUCGAACGCAGAAAAGGGGAGCAAUCCCCGAGUAGAGUGGCGAAACGGUGAGUAAUGUGUGGGUAAUCUGCCUUUCAGCGGGGGAUAACCUGGCGAAAGCGGGCUAAUACCGCGUAAUGUUGCUGUUUCUUUCGGGGAGAUGUAAUAAAAGAUGGGGAUCCGCAAGGACCUAUCGCUGAAAGAUGAGCUCACAUCCUAUCACGGCUUGUUGGUAGGGUAACGGCCUACCAAGGCGACGACGGGUAGCCGGCCUUGAGAGGGGUCCGGCCACACUGGGAACUGAGACACGGUCCAGACUCCUACGGGAGGCAGCAGUGGGGUUAAUUUUUCGCAAUGGGCGCAAGCCUGACGAAGCAACGCCGCGUGGAGGAUGAAGCCUAGCGGUUGUAAACUCCUGUCUAGCGGGACGAAACUCAUCACGGUAAAUAAUCGUGGUGGUUGACUGUACCGCUGGAGGAAGCUCCGGCCAACUCCGUGCCAGCAGCCGCGGUAAUACGGAGGGAGCAAGCCGUUACUCGGAAUUAUUGGGCGAAAGGGCGCGUAGGCGAUCUGGACAAGUCUCGUGUGAAAGCCCAGAGCUUACUCUGGAAGGGCACGAGAUACUGUUGGAUUUGAGUUCCGGAGAGGGAAGAUGGAAUUCCCGGUGGUAGCGGUGAAAUGCGUAGAUAUCGGGAGGAACACCAGUGGCGAAGGCGAUCUUCUGGACGGAUAUACUGACGCUGAGGCGCGAAAGCUGGGGAGCAAACGGGAUUAGAUACCCCGGUAGUCCUAGCCGUUAAACAAUGUACACUUGGGUGUCCGCCUUUGGCGGAUGUGCGUAGCUAACGCGAUAAGUGUACCGCCUGGGGAGUACGGUCGCAAGGCUGAAACUCAAAGGGAAUUGACGGGGGCCCGCACAAGCGGUGGAGCAUGUGGUUCAAUUCGAUGCAACGCGAAGAACCUUACCGGGGUUUGAACUGUAGUAGAAAGAUUCAGAGAUGAAUAACCCUAGCAAUAGGCUGCUAUAGAGGUGCUGCAUGGCUGUCGUCAGCUCGUGUCGUGAGAUGUUGGGUUAUAGUCCCGCAACGAGCGCAAACCCUUGCCUUUAGUUUGCUCAUCUAUCUUCGGAUGGAUAGCACUCUAAUGGGACUGCUGGUGAUAAAACCGGAGGAAGGUGGGGACGACGUCAAGUCAUCAUGGCCUUUAUGUCCCGGGCUACACACGUGCUACAAUGGCCGGUACAAAGGGUUGCCAAGCCGCGAGGUGGAGCCAAUCCCAAAACCGGCCCUCAGUUCGGAUUGCACUCUGCAACGCGAGUGCAUGAAGGUGGAAUCGCUAGUAAUCGCGGAUCAGCAUGCCGCGGUGAAUACGUUUCCGGGCCUUGUACACACCGCCCGUCACACCACGAAAGUGGGUUGUACCCGAAGUCGUCGCGCUAACCUUUUAGGAUGCAGGCGCCCAAGGUAUGAUUCAUGAUUGGGGUG
rnacentral:rRNA from 1 species